UUUGGAGUGGGAGAUCUGCAUCAGAGCUUUUGGUUCUCUCUCUCUCUCUUCUGUGAUUUUCUUCAGGACUCUCUCUCUCUCUCUCUCUCUCUCUCAUUUUUUGAAGAUCGAGAGAGCAAGAAGCUUUAGCCACCGACGCUGGUCUUCUUUUGGCCAUCAGCCAUAGCGUCCCCCUCACCGCUAACGUCGAUGGUCAAUUUGAGGUUGCUAAGGCCAUAUUCAAGUAUCAGACUCUUAUCAAUGAAUACCAGAAAUUGCAAAAGGUAUACAUAUUUUCCCUGGGCGUAAAUCCUUUUUGGUUGUAGAUCUAGGGUUUUCUUUAAAUUUUGUUUCUAUGGAUCUGAUUUGCCCAAUUUGCAUGUCUUUGUUAGUGCUAAUUUCUCUGGGUUAGAUGUAUAUGUGUGUGAUUUCCGUUUGGCAUUUGUCUUUGAAUAAAGUUUGUAUUUUUUCUGCUUGGUUUCCGGUGUGACUUGCAUGUUUGGGCUCUACCAGUGUGCUACAGAAGUUCUUAUUUAGGGAUUCUUACCUGUUGAUUGGGGCUUCCUAGCCUAUUUGGUGUUCAUCGAUGGUGGCUUUUGAGCAGCAUAGACGCAGGCGGACAUGACAAAGGAGGAGUCUGAUUUCAUUGAGUUGCUCGGAGGUGAGCUCCAGAAGUUCAAAAGAAUUUUUCGUUCAGAAAGAGGAAGAGUACAUCAUCGUCUUCAUCAUGCUGCAUUAAGUUGUGAGCUUAGGUACCCAUGUGAGAACAAAUUUUGAGUUUAUAGACAAGCUUAGAGUUGACUUCUGGUGCUUUCAUGGUAGGGAUAUUGCUCCAGAUGGCAAAACCCUCAAGGUGAAUAAUCUUUCAUGUUUGUUUAUGUCCCCUUCAUGUUGGACUCGGUGGUUUAGAGGUCGAAAAUGUGGGAGUAGGGGUAUGAAAUGUAGAAAGAUAAAAAAGAUGUGGUGAUUUAUAUCCUUUCGUCCAAAAAAGUUUAUUCUUUACGUUGAUUGAUUACCUUGGAAAUCUAUCAUUUUGGAACUAUAAAGCCCAUUAGUUUGAUGGAAAGUAGAAGAGCGUGAGGAAAAUGUAAUAGGUGUUGAAACAUCUUAAUGGUUUUGAGUUAGGUUUUAUUCCAGGUAAAAAAAAAAAACUGGAAUUACGGAUUCCCACUUCUGUUUCAUGUCGAUUUCCUGGGAAACAGAAAUGUUUCAGCUUUGUUGGUGGGAACAAAAUGAGAUUUUGUUCCUUACUUCCUACUCUUUGAAUGAUGAUGGUGGAUUAACGUGGCUCUGACGAUUGCAUGUUCGCUUUUGUAGCACAAAUUCAUUGAUGCAUUCUAAUUGUCUUAGGAAUCCAAUGCGAAUUUGGAUGAAGUGGUAGUGCUUGCUAAAGAGCUUCAGGUAACCUAACUUUUAUGAAUUGACAUACUAGAAUUUUUAUUGCAUUUGAGUAGAGAGCACGUAUAAUCGAUAGUCAUGAAUACAACACUGAUUGUCAUAGUCAUCAUUCAUAACCACCGCCUAAAAGGACACCACCUGCCAUUACAGAGAGUACCAUCUCUCUGCUAUAAUCGGCGGCCAUAUAUAUACAUACGAUCACCAAUUCUACUACUCUAUAAUCGUGUCGACCAAACAAAAUCUACUACAACCACCACUACUUGUGUAUAUAUACCACCACACAACUGACACAAUUAAGCACCUGUCCCUAGUUAUGACCUACGUACCUCGCCAACAUUGAUCACACCACGACAUGCGGUCAUCAUUCUGCCACCAUCAUCCCUCCACGGGCAUAGAACUACCUCCAUCAUAAAAUGGUACAUAUAUAGAAUGAUGGUGCUGCUCCAUUUAUACUUGUGUGCUUGACUACAAGACAAAUAAAAACGUCUUGUUUAGUAUCCAAAAGACUACUGUUGAAGAUGGUAAAAGUUUGAGUUUCUUUCUUUUCUUUGUUACUAAUCCAACACAAGACUUUUAGUGCUCUAUUAAAUCAUAAGAUUGGAUCAUUAUUGAUUGUUUUGUGUGUGUUUACUUAGGACUUUCAUGUUCCCCCAACAGAGCACAUUCCGAGGGUAUUGCCGAAGGAUGAGGACCCAUGGAUUUGAGAAGUCCCCAGUUUUGCUUUCAGCAUCUGAGAUUACUGCAGCUUUGUCAAGGCACUUAUCAGAGAGAGAGAGAGAGAGAGAGAGAGAGAGAGAGAGAGGGAGGUUCUUCAGCAGGUCCAAGAAACAAAUGUGUAUAGAUUCUUCAUUUUAUAAGUUCCAUUGAAUAUGAAGCGACCAUUAUCAAGAGAAAAUACAUCAGACUACAUUUUUGUUUUACUUCUCUAACAAAUCAGAUUUGCGUACUUCACUAAAA